rnacentral:lncRNA from 9 species
GCCCAGAGAAUGCACUGGAAGGGAGCGCCUUGAAACAUCUCUCACAAGCCAGAUCCACUGGAACAAAUACUCACCACAUCCUCCCAGCCCGUGACACUUCAGCACCACGUGGCGGACAGCUCCACACCCACUUCUGUCCCUCCCAGGCAAAGAACUAUCUGGUUGGCCUGCGUGUACGGCUCAUGAGGUAUCUUCCAGGCCACCCCUGCAUCCUGGACCAGAUGCUGAGCAUCACUGCCUUCCAGACUCACCCAGAAAAACAGACUUAGGAAUCCCUGAACCCUUGGAUUCACGGAGGAGGAAAGGCUGCUGGUGGAUGGGUCCAAAAAAGGCAUGAGUAGGCGCAGAGACACCGAAGUCCCCUCAUCGCAGUGGUGACAGACAUCUUCCAAGUUGGGGAGAAAUCAGCCUGCAGAACCAGGCUCUGAUGCAGGGAGACACGGGGGGAGAUCUCUGAAGAAAGGACU